GUGUUUGAGGUACAUAUCCGAUGGCUCUGAUGCGUUCCAUCAAGGUCCCUAUAACAGCAUAUAUCUGCUGAGAUUGCGGAUGAGACCUAUCCCCCACGAAAAAUGUGGCAGUGCCCCUCUUCCCCUGAAUCCAGCUGCAGCCUGGCCUCUUUUUGAUCCCCGACUUCUUCAUCAGGUGUCUGAUCCUGGCCACAUCUCCCCAACGCCCAGCAUUUGCAUAAAUGUUGGAGAGUAAUGUGUAUGAUCCAUCAUUUUCAGACUCCAACUCUAACAAUCGUUCUGUAGCAUAUUCAGCAAGCUCCACAUUUGCAUGAAUUCUGCAUGCACCAAGCAAGGCCACCCAAACAACUGCAGUUGGUUUGAUUGGCAUGCUCUUAAUUGUUUCCCAGGCUUCAUUUAAACGGCCUGCACGGCCCAACAGAUCAACAACACAAGCAUAAUGUUCUGCACCUGCAACUACCCCAUGGUCCCUACCCAUGUUGUGAAAGUACUUCAGCCCCUGAUCAACCAUGCCAGAAUGACUGCAAGCAUAGAGCACCACAAGAAAGGUAAUCCCAUCAGGCACAAACCCCACUUUUUGCAUCUCCUCAAAGACACAGAGGGCAUCAUCACCAUGGCCAUGCAUUCCGUAUCCAGUCAUUAAGGAUGUCCAAGAAACAGCAUUCUUUCGAGGCAUCCUAUUGAAGACCCUUUGGGCUGCAUCUAUGUCACCGCAUUUUGAGUACAUGUCAACAAGGCAGUUGGCUACAAACAGCAUUGCUGGCUCAUACCGAUUGCGGAUCACAUAUGCAUGGAUCUGUUUACCAAAACGCAGUGCACCCAAACGAGCACAAGCCAUCAGAACACAAGAUAUGGUAAAAGCAUUAGGUGCAACAGAGCUGGCUUUUAGUAUCAUCUGAGAGAAGAGUUCCAAGGAAACAUUGGAAUCUCCAUGCUGUGCAUAACCACCAAUCAUGACGGUCCAAGUCACAACGUUCCUCUCUCUCAGAGGUAUGCUAUCAAAUAUUGAGCGGGCUGUAUUAAAACUCCUGCAUUUUGAAUACAUAUCUAUUAUUGCAUUCUGCACCAUGAGAUCUUCACCUUCACCAUCAUCAUCAUUCCACGUCAUAAGGCAUUUUCUAAGAGCAUAUGCAUGCGUUGCCAUCCCCUGAGAUAAAGCUCCCACAGAAGCACAGGCAGACAGGAGGGAGAUAAUGGUGACUGCAUUAGGCUCUGAUCCUGAUAACUGCAUUUGACGGAAGACUCCGAGGGCCUCAUGGCCAUGUCCCCUCUGAGCAUAUCCCGCAAUCACAGCACUCCAUGCAAUAACAUUCAAUGGUAUAUUCUCUUCACGCAUCUUUUCGAAAAGCUCAAGGGCAUUGCCAAAGUUGCCAUUUUGUGAAUACCCGGUGACCAUCACGUUCCAAGACACCACAUCUUUGACCUCCAUCCCAUUAAAAACCCUACAGGCAUCCUCCAUCAUCCCACACUUUGCAUACGCAUCAAUGAUGGUGUUGCCCACGAAGAUAUCCCAGAAGAGACCAUUUCUUAAGGCAUAACCAUGAAUUUCUUUGGCCUGGGGCAAUGCCCUGAGAGAGGCACAAGCAGGAAGGAUGUUGACAAGGCUUAUGAUGUCCGACCUCUGCUGGAUAGCCUUGUUGUUGCCUUUCUUUGCCAUCUGGGCAAACAGCUCCAAGGCAAGCCGAGGGUUGCCACUCUUCACAUGAGCUGCUACCAUUGAAUUCCAUGAGAUCACAUCAUCUAUCCCCUUAUAAAUAAUUUCAUCAAACACACGGCCAGCUUCCUCUGGAGAACCACAGCUCGCGUACAUGGUCACCAAGGCAUUGCACACAAAAAUAUAUGACUCAAAGCCAUUUCUGCAUACAACAGCAUGCAGCACAGUUCCCCGUCGGUAGGAAGGUAGCUUGCCACAUGCCUUGAGGACAAAAGGGAAGGUGUAAUGGUUAGGCCUGGUUCCAACACGUUGCAUGCAACGGCAAAGGAAGAGAGCAUGGUCAAGGUGGCCUUCGUUGACACCUAGUCUGAUAAGUGCAUUCCACCAGAAGACAGGUGAGGGGGAUAGACGCUCCAAUACAGAGAGGGCAUCUGCAGGGGAACUGGCAUCAAGGUAUGAGGCUACAAUGCCAGUUCCUAAUGCUGUUGCUGAUGAUGAUGCAGCAGAGGAGGAAACAGGUGUGGAAAGAAGACCAUGGGUGAGAAUCUGUUGGUGGAUUUGUCGGGCAGCUGCCAAAGACUUGCAUUCCUUCAAGAAAGAAACAAAUGAAGGCAAUGCCAAGCCUGGAGAAGGGAGUGAAGGAGGGGUUGCAGUGGAGAAGAGCCGUGUUCUGCUCCUAGGCGUUGCCUUCAGCAGCAGGUUGAGGAGCAUAACGACGAAAGCAUCUCAUUCUGCCACCAUGACCACUCAAACAGCAGGCAUUACCUCACUGCGCAAUGACAAAGGAAGGUUACAAAUUGAUCAGGUAAACAACCACAAGGAGAAGGAAACCGCCACUCAUGCUCCUAUAACAGAUAAUUUUACUACUAUAACAAGGAUUUUGCUAUGUACUGGAAUCAAUUAGACCACAAGGAUAAUCAAACCACCAAAAUGAAACUAAAGCUGGCAGUUGGCACUUCUUUUUGCAUGCCUUAUAUCGCAUCUCCAAUAGAGAAACAGGUUUUCUUAUUAUUAUUUUUUUUAAAAAAAAACACUAGAUAAGCAACAACAGAAACAGGAAAACACCAGCUUUACUUACAAUACAAAAUAUGCCCAGUUAUUAAAUUGGAGCACCGAAUGGAUAAUUAUAAGUUAUCACGGAGCUAAAACUUGAACAUCAAGCAUACCCUUAUUAGUGAUGAAAACGCCAAUUUUGAGGAUUGAAACACUCAAGAACAUAGCAUAGCAUGAUUGCCAUUGCCGUUCUAAUUCGAAAAGCGCCGAUUUUUCAAUCAGAAACCCAAAAAGGGGGAAAAAUCCGAGGUAAGCUUAAUGCAAACAAAUUUUACCUUUCGAAGAGAAAUUUUCGAGGGGUAACAAGGAUGAAGAAUCUAGCGGUUGAUUGGUAGCAGACAUACCGCCGGAUGGUUGUUGGAUCUCUGUCGUAUUCUGCUCGGUUCUACUGGUUGCUAAAACCCUAGCUCUAAAACCCCGGGCUCAUCGUGUUCCCACGCGCUCGUCCAACGGAUAUAUCCGUCAUGGUUCGGGCUGGAGCGCCGGUCUGGGGUUCCGGCUCGUGUUCGGUCCGGUGAGGGCUGGAUCGCCGAUUUGGGACUGGACUUAACCUGAUGAUUUUUUUAAUUAUUUUUUUUGCUGCAGCGGACGGCUUGCACAACCUUUCAUAUGGAUGUAUUUAGAAAAGUCAAAAAAUAAUACAUCACGAAGUGCACUAGACAACUCACUUUCUCUAACUCACAGAAUUUUUUUGGAAUGAUCGGCCACAUACGAGUCUACCUAAUACACAGCCUCAUUAGCCACUCUAUAAACAUGCCCAGCCUGGAACUCAAUUUCGUCUCUUACCAUGUUUCGAAUAUUCCGGAGUAAAAGAUGGUGCCUAGCUGUGCCACCAGUGCCUUUGGAUUCAGCCGAUCACCGUGGCCGAAUCACCCUCUAGCAGGAUUGCUCCAGCCAGCAAAACACGUCGUUAGGUUGAGCUUCUUCAGCCCCAUUCUUAGUUAACCCAAACCCUUGACUAUUUAUAAAUUCCAAAUUAAAUCAGAUAUUUAUACCUUAGCAGAGAAUUAAAAAAAUGGGUCAUAUAUUGUAAUCUAUUAGUAUCAUGCACUAAUGUGCGUUACUUUUUUUUGGCCAGAUAAAUAUCCUCCCGAGAGAUCUCACUAGUAAUUGCUGCAUGCCAAUUGUUCAUUGUUUUCCACUAAUGUCAAUAGCCAAUACAGAUAUUCUAUAAAAAGAUUCUAAAUAAUGUUAAACAACCUGAGAACAACCAUUUAGGGAUAUUACAUCCAAUAAAGUACAUGCCCGAAUCCUAUAAAAAAAAUGUGUCAAAUUUCUACUACCUCAUCCUAAAACAUAGAGUAACACAUCUAUCUAAAAAAUAUUGAAAGAAAGAAAGAAAAGUUGUGGAGAGCUCACUAAUUUUAGACUCAAUGGCAUAAGGAAUUGGUGUGAUUUGCAAGAGGCUGGUUGGUGGCACCCAAUUGGAGUAGUGCCACACUAGAUUGCUCCUACCAUCAACCCAAAAAAAGAGCAGAACUCAACCAAAAAGGAGCAUGAUCCAUAAAUUUCUUGAGGUUGGGGGAGGAGAGGGGCUGGAAGUUGUGAUAUAAAAUAGGUGUGGGGUUGGAGGGUCAAAAGGAAAAGGAAGGAGUAUGGGGAGGAGGGGCUGGAGGCUGUGGUAUAAGAUAGGUGUGGGGUUGGAGCUCCUACUCUCACCUCAAAAGAAACAAAAAAAGAAAAUCCAGAAUCUUCUAGAAAAUAAUCACAUGAGCAAAAAUACAUGAGUCGCACCGCAUUAGAGGAUAGAUUUAGCUGCAAAAGCUUGUACUUGAAAGUCAUAUUGCACUCAGCGUAUGUAAAUCCAAUGCUGAAAUAUGUUGGACUUGGGCAAUUGCUUGCAAUUACUACAUAUUUACUAAUACCAUCGCAUAAAAAAUGAGUAUAUUUACCAAACCUUUGAGAAAUUUAACAUAUAUAAAUCAUCAUGAACAGAAUGUCAAAUUGUCAGACAUUUGUACUGAACAGUAACUUUUGAGGAAAUGAUAUUGUAGAGUUGCCAAAGUUUUAACUCAGAAUGAAAAAGAUUGUAUUGGAACAUGGCACUGGCUAACUGAGUUCAUUGCUUUGAUAAGGUCAUUAAUACAUAAUAUAUAACUUUAAUACCAGUGAAUGACUAAAAGAUCUCCACAUAUAUCUUCAUAUGCUUAAAUAUGCAUCUAAAGACAAGAAAAAAAAAAGAAACAAUUAUUGCACACUUGUUGGAAUCUUAAGACAAUUCAUUCUACAUGAAGAACAGCCUAUGUGGCACUUUCUCUGCUCAUCAUGACUUGACAGGGCCAUAUCCAGUGCUUAAGGGGUAAGAGCAAGUAGUCCACCCACAUAUAUCCUAUCAGUGCUAUUUGCUUUUACUUUCAGUUUGAGAAAAGCAAAUCCAGUUAAACAGUAAUAUCCCACACGCUCCCAAAGUACUCAAGGAAGUGAGGAACUGUCAUCUACAGCAGAUUUUGCCCCCAAUUGAAAGCCGAUGAGCAACCAUCAGGGAGAGAAGAGUCUUUAACAUUUCCAUCCCUUUGCAAAGCCUUCUUCUGUGUAUGGCUCCAAAAAACCGAUAAACUGAAAACAUGGGAGGACAAAUAAAAAUACAGCAAGAAUGACUUCAAGAUCUCUUAAAAUUUUAAGCAGCAUAUAGUCAGAAUGAACAACAUUGUAGAUCUCUUAAAAUUUUAAGCAGCAACUGCUCAGUACACAAAUCUUUGCUACUAUAACACAACCAACUUGACUAGAGAGGCAUUUUCCCUUUGUUGUUGAAAUAUUUGAUUCCCCUUCCUGAUAGUGGCAUGGAUUCAUCAGUAUUUAUGAAGUCUAGCAGCGAAAGACAAGCAGCACUCAAAAGAGGAGUUCGUGCUGUAAAUGAAAUACUUAUUGUUGAUCUUGAUAUUUUCAGUCACAAUUUCCUCAAGUCAGUAAAAAAAAAAAAGAAGUAUUAAUCAAAAUACUUUCUUCUGCUUUUGGUAGUCUUUAAAUAUAAAAGGAAUUAAGGGGACGGGUGUGGAGGGAAUAAUUUUGCGAGGUUUCUAAAGAGACACUUCACUCAUGAGCAAUAACAAGAGAGGUACUAGGCAAGGCUCAUGAAGGACACAAAGCCAAUUUUAAUUAGACAAAUCUCCUCCUAGUUAAAAUACCUUUGAGCCAUCUUUAGACCACCGAGCACCAUAGCCUUCACUGACCCGUAUCUCAAAGACACAAUCAUAAGGUUUAAUCAAGUGGACAUUCAUCCAACAGCAAUUCGUUAACAAGCGAUUGAUUACUUCUAAUGCAAGCGUGUUCUUUUUCGAAUCUGAAAAGGCAGCAAUUCAACAAAUAAAUACUGCAGCAAAUAUAAAGAGUAAAGAAAUGAGGCACUCGGACAAAUUUAAAAGAAUCUAUAAUAUACUAAAACAGAGAAUAAUCUAGAAUUGUUCCUUACCACUUCCAUAAAAAUCACCCCACCAUCCAUCACUACUCCUGUUUACAUGUUUCGCCAAUGCCCUUGCCGCAUCAGUUAAGGAACAACCUUUAACCUCCAGCCAAACAAGAUAAGAGUACAAUCAAUGAUAUGUCUCAACAAGCAUUUAAUAAUCUGGAACUACCACACCUUGACAGAGUAGAGAAGGGACACAAGUUGACAGCCCAUGGUGGUGGUUCUCUUACUGCAGACACAAAAUUCACCAACCAUGCAUGACCCCCAAUAAGAAAGAUGCCUACCUCCUAAUAGCGAUUUGGUGGCCUAUGCUCAAUCCAUAAUUUUAUUAGAAAAGUGGUAGGCAUCAGUGGCUGCCAUCACAAUAAGAUACCCAUAUUGCUGUCUAUUUCCUCUAGAUUGGUCUCCGAAAUGAUAAAAAGAGCAUUCAUCAUGCACAACAAAGUGUGUUCUCAGUCUAGGAUAAGAAUUUCUUUGAUAGGUUCAUGAAAAUUUAACAUUGUUUACAAAAUCAAUUUUGCAAGGCAUAUCUGAGGUCAAAGUGCAUUGCAAAAUUACUGAAUUGUUAAUGAUACAAUUAUUGGAACCAUCGAUUAAUAGCAGUUGACAGGUAAAUAAUCUUCUAUUCUGGGAAUUCAGAUUUUACAUUUGGUCGAUGAGGAUUCAUAGAAGAUGAUAUCAAAAAUGAUCUUGGAGGAGGUAGUGCAUCCAGAACUGUUCCAACAGUAUGUCUCAUACCAAGAAGACUUCCCACACCAUCAUAACUUAAUCCCUGGUAAAAUAUAGAAACAGAAAAAUAUGAUACAACUCCAUUCUUGGAGGAAAUGAGAUAUGCAAGCAAAAAAAGCUGCAAGAUAAUAAAAUUCAUCACAAAGAUCAUGCCAUACACAAUAACACUAAAGAGAGAUGAAGAAAAAGUAUAAAAGCUUUGCAGCAAUCAAGAUUCACCAUUUAGGCAAUGUAGAUUUCUGUAUUGCUCCCAGCAGAAGAGCAUUUGCUUUACUAAGAAGUAUAUUAGUAGAACUAAUGUCAUAAUUACAAGAUUUGUCAAUAGGAUGGGGGGGUGCCAUGACCCACUGACACCCCUAGCUGAGGAAGCUCCCUUGUAGUUUUAAAGGAAGACUGAAGAAUAAUACUGUGUUCUUGAGAUGAAUAUGUAAGGUUUAACCUCCACCCUAGUACAGCAGAACCUCAGUUUGAACACUACCAAACAGGACAAUAAUCAAGUUCCCAAUAAUACGUAUUACAGAAGGGCUUGGAUUCCUGAAGGAACUUAGCCAACUGUAAGAUUUCCAGAAUGUAGAGUUGAUGUAAGAAUUGGUUGUGUGUGUUGUACCAUACAGAUGGAUUAGCCCAUACCACUACUCUCAUGACAAUGAAGGCAUAAAUAAAUAGACCCAUUACCUAUGUAAGGAUGGACAUGGAUCUAUUUAAGCUCCAAUUGACAAGGAUUAAAAAUUUCAACUAGCGUUAUGGUCCUGAAAUCUGCCAUUUGCCAAAAAUAGUUCUACAUUUUGUAUCUUCCUAUUGACAGGACGUAUAAUAAAAAUACUAAGCUAUGCAAUUUCUUCCAGAAAGGGAUAGAUGGUAGAGAUUCUACUAGUUCUGUUAGAGAUAAGGAACUAGUUUCCUAUCUUCAAAAUAACAACAGAUCUGUUACAUUAAAUUUUAGGGAAAUAUAUUUCAUUGGCACAAUGGUCCAAUACUCACAGAAAGUAGGUUGGCCAUAGAUAUAUAUGGCUGAGAAGCUACUUUUGAAACAGAAAUUGCCAGGACACCUUUAGAUUUUUCCUUCUCUUCUGAGUAAAACUUGCGGUAGAUUUUCACACCUGAAAAGACCACACUCCAUGUUACUGAAUUUGCUCAAACAGUGAUUCAAAUUAAUUACUAAAAAUGUUCAAGAAAUGAAUGAUUUAAAUAACUGUUCAGUCACUUUCUUAGGUGAAAAUUUACUAGGUUAUGUGAGCACUGUCUGGUACAGUGAUACUGAUGUAAAAAGCAAGGUAGAUGUGCACAUAUGAAUAAUUGAGUUGUAAGAACACUGCAUCUGAAGCUAAAAAUGUUCAAGAAAUGAAUGAUUUAAAUAACUGUUCAGUCACUUUCUUAGGUGAAAAUUUACUAGGUUAUGUGAGCGCUGUCUGGUACAGUGAUACUGAUGUAAAAAGCAAGGUAGAUGUGCACAUAUGAAUAAUUGAGUUGUAAGAACACUGCAUCUGAAGCUAAGAAUGAUAUCUUGAUAAGCAGGAAUAUAAGCAGAAUUAAAACUGUGUUUCAAGUUUCAACAUCUAAAAUAAAAAACUUUGAAAGCAUUUACAAAGUCUGCCCAUUUAGGGAACUAGAAUAGACCAGACAGUGCAAAAGGCAGUGCCAAAUUUAUUUGUAGAAUCAUACAGAACUUAUUCCUGUUAGCUCCCUUUAAGAGAUUUGUGUGACCCUACAUAUAUAUUUUUCAGAGGAAUAACCCUUGAACUGGAAUUAAAAUGAUUAGCCUAGUACCUUCUUCAAUAGUUUUAACUCCAGGAAGGACUUUAGCAAGAGUCUCUUCUUGCAGCAUCUCAGAGAAUGAACUAUACCAUCUAACAUCCUGCAAAGCACCACUAGUAGCUAUCAACUAAAAAGGUUAAUAAAGAACAAUUCAUUUAAUGAAGCUUUUCUAUUCUUUUGUGACUGAUAUGCAGGAAAAUCAUUUAUCUGAUUAUUAAAGCAGCAAAACACGUAAACAAGAUUAAUAUAACAAAUAUUUAAUAUUUGUACUCUUAAAUUGCCACAUGCUAGUGAUAUCUGAAUUAUUUAUCGCUCUCACCAAAUAUCAUUGACAUAAUAGCAACUAUAUUAAAAAGAAAAAACGUGUAUAAAUGAAAAAGAUGAUCGUUUUUUUUUUUGGGGGGGGGGUGUGGAAGUUUUAUACGACUAAGACACCAAGCUUCAGAUCUUUAACCAACAGUUACUAGUUGUUAGCCUAAGCUAGCGAACCACAAACUACAGAUUUUGUUGUCAGCCAUAUGGCGAUUGAAUUUAUGCAGAAGCAAACUCUAUAGGAUUAAAGUGGUCAAUUUCCUCUUUCCUUCCCCGCUCCUCGUCCUUGCAUAUUUUUCUUUUUUGACUUAAUUAUUCAUCCACUCGGUGAGUCCUCAUUAGAAUCACUAACAUCGUAAUCAUUUAGAUUAAGAUCUUCUGCAAGACAAACUUUUGCAAAUGCAUAAAAAGGUUUAACAGUAAAUUUACAGUUUGGAUGCAUGAAAUAGGAUGGCAUCACCUGAACUUCAAACAAGAGGCAUUUGUUGAAGAGAAGUAAAGAACCUGGUGUGAUCCUGGCAACAACACAUUAGGGAGAAAAAUGCAACUGUAUGAAACAUUAACUAUAAUAAAGAAAAGAAAUCAAACUGCUUAUCGAUGAGAUAACAUGAGAAAGCUCAGUAGUAAUAACAGAAUUUGAUUCUUGUUUUUCCAAGUUUCUCAGCUCAACUCAGAAUCCAUCUACCUGCACUUGGCUUUAACUCAGCUAUUUUGGUUCUCACCAUGGCUUAAGGUCCAGAGAUGGACAUUAGUCUUACACUCAAAGAAGUAUAACAUAUUCCGUGAGUCUAUUGAAAGUCAUAAGUAAAAAAUUAGUUAAGAGUGUUAGACUUGCAGCAUUAAGGAUUUAUUUCAAAAGAAACUAAUAUGAUAGUUAUGAUGUUAUAAUAAUUUUGAGCCUCAACUGACCCAUAUACACUUUAGCUAGGUUCAAUCUUGUUUGCCGAAAAAAUAUGCUUCAAGGCUUAGAAGCAGCAUACAUGUUUAAAAUCUGACUAGAGGUUUUACGUCAGAAAAUUUGGUCUUGUGAGUGAUCCAAGCUAGUUCAACUCAUCAACACCCCUGCCUUUGUCACUUUGUCUUUUAAUAAUUAUGUAAGCAGACAAAAAACAUCAAGUAGACCUUGAAAAUGUAUUACUUAUCUCUUCUAUAAUUUGGAUGGUUUAAUUCUUAUACACAUAUUUCUAAAACGAAAUGCCAAAUUUAACUAAAGCAAAUAUAAACUUGAUACCAUAACUACUACCAAAGGUUUAUCAUUUUUGGAUCAAAAACUUAAGCCCAGAUCAACAAGGUGGCGGUUUGAUGUUAGAUUGAAAUCCUGUUGUAAAAAGUAUGUUAAACUAUAAAACAGAUCAAAAAUUUGAUACCAAAGAUAAGCAAUGCUCAGUGAAUGUGAAUUCAUAAUGCUGACCCCUAAUUAGCUGGAGCAAGGUUUCAUAAUGAGAAUUCGUUUUGGAAUCAGUGUUAUAAUUCUUCAAAAAGUCAUUCCACAACCAAAGCAACUUUUUCAAAACUAUUACCAAUUGAUGGUUAGCUCAGAUCUAAACUUGAUAUGAAACUAUUAAUAAUAAGCCUGAUCACUUUGGGAUCAACCACUGCGAAAUUAGUCUGAUGAAAAAGGUGAAAGGUAAUCAUAAAAAGCAUGUCAAACUAUGAAAUGGGUUUAAAUCCGACAUCAAAGGUACAGAAUGCUUGGCAAAUGAGGAAUCCUAAAGCUGAUCCCAAUUAGUCAGGACAAGCUUUGAUGGUUACACUACGGCUUCAUCAUUUUUAGGAUCAACUUUAUCAAUCCUGAGUCCCUGACAAAUCAUUCACAAUCAAAGCAAGUGUCCUUUUACCUUUUCAACCAUCUUAACCAUAUCUCUCUCUUAAGUUCCCAUUGUUUUCUGAAAUGUUGACAUAAAUAUGAGAUCUCAACAGUGUCAAGAGUGCCUCCUAUGACCUUUCUUGUACAUGAUCACACACUUUAAUAAUGUUUUCUCUGUUCAUGCAAUAACCGAGCUUUUUCUAUUGUGCCUCCUUUUACAAAUCUUGGACAACCUGAAGUGAAUUCUUUAACUUAUAAUCUUGCCACUGAAUGGCAUGGGUGUUUUGUACAAUAUAAAAUCUUUUGCUGGUUAUAAUUAUGAUUGAAAUAGGUUACUUGGAGGGUUUAAAUUGAUCAAACUAUAUACAAGUGAUAAAAAAGGAUAUAAACUGAUUCAAGCAACAUAAGAGUGAAGUCAGUUUUUGAUCUUACCGAUUAUAAUCACCAGUUGCACACCUCCCUUCAACUGUUUUCAGACCAGCUGAAGAUAUAGUUUGGUUAGUAUAGACUCCGAGAGCAAACCCACUUCAAGUCAAGGUCGUAACAGCAUAAAGAUUAACUGAACCAAAUUGACCAAAGAAAAGAAAAGAGAAGAAAGAAAUCACAUGCUAAUAUUAGAAUGACCCAAAAGAUUAGACAUUUAGGAAAUAAAAUGUUCAUAGGUUUAAAUGGGAACCAAGAACUGUUCUCUAAGAUAUCAAGCUAAAAUCGGCUACAUGAACAUGGCAAUAGCAUGUUUCUAAGGUCCAAGUUACUAGUAAAUAUGCUGAUGCCUACAAUGACAUUUGGCCCCUUAUCAAGUAAACUGUAAGCAAACUCCGACCGCAGUCUGCUACCAAGUACGAAGAAAUACAUAUUAUUUCACUGCACAUGCAUGUGCAAAGGACAUCUGGAUCCGCACUAUUUAGUUGUAAGAAGAGAAUGACUAGGCUCAUGAAUCCAUAAGAACAAAACGAUAGCUUCCAUCAUCAAUGCCAACUAUGCUAUUUAGCGGGAAGGGCAUGUUACUAAUCCCUAACAAGAUCCCACUAAGAAAAUAUCAGGCACUUAAAAAAGAAGACUAGAUGCUAUUUGUCUCUGAGAUCACCCAGCAUAAUGGGAGUAAGCUCUAUGAUACGUAUAGAUUAAUUAAUUCUACAGCAACAUCUCAAACUUUUCAUUGAUUGCCUAAUAGAUGGCUUACUUCAAGCUGCCAUGAGCUCUACAUUAAGGAAAGUAAUAUACAAGAUUAACACAAUUAAUUUGUUAAACCAACAUAAAAAGUACUCUGCAGUGCCAAAUGCCUUGCAUGGUUAGAAUAGUAACUCACUUAUUUCUUCGCAUCCACCAAAUCCCUAUUAGCCAGUAAGUUGCCUUCCCUCUUCAGACUCAUGUUUCUGUUGAUGACAGCUACACAUUGGUAUUGACCAAAUAACUUUUACAGGUAAAGAAUUAUAUUUUCGCUAUAUAGACGUUUAUUAUGUUAAAAAUAGUAUACACAUAUCAUCCAUAUUUAGCUAUUACAACAAAUUAUAAUCAGACUUCUCACAUUAGUUUUGUGCCGAAACUUAGAUUGCCACCCGUACAUGAAUGAGUGGGUACUUGGAUUCCCUGUUGCACUAUACAAGAUAGCAUGAUAGAACAUCUGAUUAGUCAUUUAGAUCGAGUUAAAUAUUCUGACAUCAACACAUGCAGAUAGCAAUCAAAAUGGUCGCAUUUGGUACAUGGAUUCAUUUGAUGAUAUAAAAUAAUGAUCAAGCACUGUUAUAUCAAGUCCAUGUCAUCUUAUAUCCUGACUCCUCAACUGUACCAGAAUUCUACCAGGAUCUAAUGCACUGAGCUGCUAUGCUUCAAUGGCAUAGCAUCGCAACUAAAUACCACCUAAACAAACUGAUAUAGUGCCAAUUAGCUUUACCUAGCAAAGCAUCUGAUCAUCACCUUUAUAAUCCAACAGUCAUACAUAUAUGAAUAAUGAAACACUGAAACUUUAUAUGGUAAAAUGACACCAAGAAGCAAAAGUGUUUGAAAGUACAUAAAAUGCAAGAUGCCUUAACCUAAUCAGUAAAAGAGCUCCUGCAGUGUCUUUAUUGUAACUAACUAUGCACCAGCAGUAAGAUCAUAAAAGGAUUACCUCUCAGCUGUGAGAAGAAUGGUUCUUGAACAUGGAGCUCAAACUCUACAGCUUUAAACAUCUGUCAAGUGCAAUGCCAUAAAAUGAGAAAGAGACAUUGUAAUAACAAGCAUGCACAGAAAAGCGCGCGCACACACAAGCGCACGCAUAUGGAAGUUUGCUUACCUUUAACAAUUCGGAUCCUUUAUCCAAGAUCAGCUUACUCCAUUCGUUCUCUCUCAUCUUCAAGGACUCAUCAAGAGGAACAGAUACCACAGAGUUGGUUGUUCUCCGGAAAGUUCCAGAAUUUAUGCAUUGCUCUAUUGCUCGUGCCAAAUGUUUAUACAAAGGAUAUACUGGAACACCUCCACAGACAUUCCCAAGAUCUUCACAUAAAAACAGAAAAUUGGCCAAAAAAAAGGGUGUAUAUUGGCCCGCAAAAUUAAAAAGAAAGAAAAAGAAAAGAAAGACAAUAAGGAAACGGCAAGCAACAUGAAGAAUUAAAACUUGUAACAUCUUCAACUCGACGGUUUCUUUGAGUCGACUAAUUUCUGCCUAGAAAUUGCCCCAAUCUAAGGUCAGAUUACAAGUAUCAGCUCCUAUCCAGCAAAAUAAUUCGUAUUUGUUACAUAAAAUUCAUCCUAUGUUUCCAUUUUAACAUCUUAAAUCAUGAAAACGGGAAGACUAUCCAAAGAAAAUGGGUUGAAUGCACGCCACGUGGCAACCGAGAGGGAGGGAUCGGCGGAUUUACCGUUGAGAUGGGGAUCCGUGGGGUUGGACUCAUCUUGGAGCAGGUGGAUGCAGUAGUCCCUGGACAGCAGCACAUCACAAUCGUCCAGGCCUUCGCCGGCGGCGGCAAGGGUGAAGCGGACGAGCUCCUCCAUGCCAUCGGCGAGGCGGACCGGCGAUACCCCUGGAGAUGGAGGCCCCGAGACCUCGGUCGCUACCGCCGGCGACGGCUCCCCGUCCAUUUGAUGAUUAAUCCCACCGCCUGAUCGAAUGGAAGGACUGGUGUUUAAAGGAUAAGGCUUCGGUCUCCGGAAAGUAGAACAAAGUUGGAGAGGGCAUGCGAUGCAAAGGCGACUUUGCGAGUCGUGCCGGACGUUUUUUGCGCUUUUUUUUUUUUCCUUGGUACAACGGCGGUUAUACUACUCUCUGGUGCGAGCACAGCCACAUAGUUAGACAAAAAGAAGAUAGCAGGAUGGAGGAGCGGCUACAAAAUAUAUCUAAAAAAUUUCUCUCUAAUGAUGAACAGUGAAGAAGAUGAUCGGAUCUACAAUCAUAUUUGCCUCACGAUAUACAUGAGCAAUCUAGAAUGAGCCACAAUAUCUCGCUAUCCUCUAGAUAUCAUUUAGUAGUGGGUGGCCAUCACCUCACCACUUCUCAUCCCGAAUCCACUCGACCACCGUCGCUGAGUCCGCUUUCAAAAAGAUGUUAUCAGUUCCUAGAAUAUGCCUCACGAAGGUGAUGCCCCCAAGUUGCCCUGAGCUCCGCUUUAAUAGCUGUCAUGUCAUAGGUUUGAUACCCUCCUGCGGCAAUCAGUAUGGAGUUAUGAUCUCUGAUCACAAAAUCUAUACCUCAUCUAUCUCCAUCUGCUGACACACUGUCGUCGAAAUUCACUUUGAGAUGGCUGGAGGUGGGGGCUCCCAAGAGACAAGAGUAAAUUUAGGCACUGCAGUAGUGAAGUGGGAGUUUUAUAUGUCCCAGCCAUCCCGGAUGAAGUUGUCAUGGUAGUAUUGAUGAUUUCGGCAGCCUGAAGGAGAGCUUUAUCCACCACAAACUCAGAGAUGUUCUCCUACCUUCAAAGAGACGAGCAUUCAUGUUCAGCCAGAUACGAUAGGCCAGGUAAGCACAAGUGAUGCCCCACUCAAUAGAACUUGGUCUCCUCAAGAAAUCCCUCAUAUGGCGUUGAAGCUCCUCAGCCGACCCCAUGGACCACGGCAUAGGAAAUGAAGCCCUCCUCCAAAAUUUGCACUGCUCGAGGGCAACCAAGAAGCACAUAACUGGUAGACUCCUCCAUGUCGGGGCACUUCUCACACAUCGGAGUAAUCCUCACGCCCCUCCUUACCACCAUACUUCGGAUUGGUAGAUAGCCCCACGGCACCUCUAGAUGAACAAAGCUACGCGAGGGUGUCACGCAUUCUCCAAAUCCACCCACCAUCGAUCUAUCGAGUAGUCUACCCUCUCAUCAGUACCUGCAAAUCUCACGACAGUCUUCUCUAAGUGUUGUGAUGGAGAAGCAAAGAUUGGAGAAGAGAAAAAUAGUGGAAAUGAUGGUCUAAAUAUGUCCUUCCAGCUUUCUUGAAGGGGAAAUAUCCUCUUAAUUGGUGCAUUUGUUCUUAUUCCUUUCCAAAGUUUCUGAAACCUAUCUACUUCAAGCUUUUUGAGAAAAAAUUAAAAUUAUUUUCUUUUUAGUGUUUCACAUCAUAUUCCUUUUCAGCUUUAAGAGAUAAGUAGGAAUAUGAGUGGGGCACCUGGGCUUAAAUUCUAUUUAUUUUUAAUUAAACUUCUGCUGAGCCUAUAUAAAAUUUAACAUUUUUUUGUACCCAAGCCGCGUCCAUAAUCAACUUUAGUUAACACUCAUUCUAAGUUGCUGGAGUCCUAAUGAAUUUUGUGUAAGAUACUUAGGACUCAUUUGGUUUGCAGAAAAAGAAGGAAAAAAGUGUAGUUAACAAAAAAAAAGAAAAUAAAAAAUAAUUUUUUAUUUGGUUCAGUUUUCAAAAAAGAUAUAAAAAGUAGCAUUCUCAUGGGAAUAAAAUUUUCAUAUUCUAUAGAAAAGAAAAAUCCAUGAAGGAUAUGAAAAAGCCAUUUUUCCACCGGUUAGAAAUUAAUUUUUUUUAAAAAAACUAUUUUUGAGCCAUCAAAAUUCAAGUCUUUUCUUCUAUCAAGGAUAUAAUAGAUAUUUUACAUAAUUUUUUAAAAAAGUAAAUGUCCCACCAACAUGAGUCACUCUGAAAUAUACCAUUUUUAUAAGGUCAACUAAAGAUACUAAAACUAUUUUUUCAAACAUUAUUUUUUUUCAAAAAAAUUAUUCGGACAAAAAAAAACGCGAAUCAAACGAGUCAUUGCUGAGUAUUCUGCUCUUCAAAGAAGAAAUGUCUCCCAAAGAAUCUUUGCCAAUUUUGUUUUGCCAAGAGUCAACAUCCGACCGCAGGUAGCCGUGAUGCGUUUAGUCGAAACGGAGCUUCGUUUCUUGCAUGCAUACUAUUUGACAUUUUGAGGAGAUUAUGGUGUCUCUCACCAAGCUUUUCUUUGCUUGAAGCCCUAGUCCUCGUACAUUCCAUGAAAGGAUAGCCAUUAAGAAGGUCCCGUUAAACUUUAUAGAAACUGAAGUGCUAGGUUUCCAUUGAAUGGGGGCAAGGAGGGGACUAUAUAGAGAAGCCUAUCACAUCUGGAAUUUCUUUCCAAUAGGCAAGAGAGCUCAAUUGGAAGAUAAACAGUGAUACUCAUUAUUUUGGAGUGCAGAGCGUUCCAUUGCACCAUGGCUCUGCCCAGGCGGGUGACCAACGUACAUGAAGUCUGAUGAUUCCUUCAACAUUUAGCUGACAAAAAAAACAAAACCAGAACUGCCGAGUGGUUAGUUGGAGGUGAGGGCUGAACGACUCCCACAAUGGACGUCUCAAUUUGCUUCAGCUUGAUAACUUCAUUGUUGUUAAACUAUUUACAAAAGAAGUGAAAAACAAAAAAAGAGAGAGAAAAUUGGUUUUAAUUCUAUGUUUCAUCCCAUUCGGUACAUCUUAUGAAUUAUAUAUACUCAUAUACGGACUCUAUAUAAGAAAAAUAAUAUAGGGUGAUAUACAAUCACGUUAAUAAAAAAAAAUAUUAUAGGUGAUAGUCAUAUGAUCUCUAAAAUCACUCUAACAAAAUCAUGCUAACAAAAGAAAAUAAUAUAGGUUGAUAUAGGAUCACGAUAAUAAAGAAAAAUAUUAUGGGUGAUAUUGGUUGUUAUGUGAUCUCUAAAAUUAGGCUAAUAAUUGUCAUUUGUAGGUGGAAAAAGUAGGCCACGUUUCUUUUUCGAGGUUCACUGGAUCGCGGAUAAAUUUUUUUUUCGAUGCAACGACCAUUCACAAUGAUGAGUACGGUCAAUAAAAUUAGAAAAAAAAUAAUAAAGGAAAAAAAGAACAGCCUCGUGAUUCUGCCAAAAGACCCAUCUGAAUGUUGCGCAGUAAAAAAGGCAACCCAGUCAGUAGUCUUAUUUGUCUUCUAAUCGGCCAAAAAAAGUGCCCCAUCUUUUUUUCUUUUUUUUUUGUUAUAUCGGCGACUCAUACAUGUGUGGGUGCAGCCCAUAAAGUCAAAAAGAAGGAGAAAAUAUAUAGGAGACGGGACCGAGACGUGAUUAGCCCAAAUAAAAUUCCCAGAGUAAUGAACUGCAAAGAAUGUCACCCAGUCCGCCGUACUGUUUGCUUUUCUGAAGACAUGAGUAGCCCGAUGGAAGGCGUACUCCCAAAAGAUUACGAAUGUCGUGUAUCAGCCGCAUCCCGCCGGCCGCACAAUCCAAAUCUUGGAUCCACUCGAUCACCGUGGCUGAGUCCGCCUCUAGGACAAUACGAUCCAUGCCCAGCACUCGUCUGGGCAUAGGAGACGCCCUCCCAUGCGACUUUGACCUCGGCACCGACCACAGAUUGAUCGAAGAUCUAUCGGCUCCCAGCCGCCACAAAUCUGACCUCCUAAUCUCUAAUAACAAACUUGGCACCACCGCCCCCUCCCUCACUAACACUGCAGUCGAAGUUUACCUUGAGAAAACCAAGAGCUGGGGGCUCCCAGAAGACGAGCAUAGUCCUCUACGCUAUAAAAGCUGAAUGAGAGCCUCAGAUUUCCCUAACCAGCCUAAGGAACGGUGCCGUAGUGACGCCAAGGACCUCAGCCGCAUGAAGACGUGCCUUGUCCACCACCAGCCUCGGAUGCGCUCUUCUGUCCUCAAAAACUCGGGUAUUCCUAUCUAGCCAGCAUUGAUAUGCCAGAUAGGCCGCCCUAAUCCCAUUCUCCACAAGGGCGAACCUCCGAGAGGAAUCCUUCAGAAAGAUCAAAAAAUCCUUUGUUGAUGUCCGCCGCUGUAUCAGGUAGAAAAAAGCCGAAGCGCACUUCCAGAUCUGGACAGCCAGCUGACAGCCGAAAAUCACAUGAAAGAUGGACUCCUCUAUCUCCCGACAAAUCUAACAACCUGGGGGGAUGCUAACCCUUUGUCAAGCUAGUACUCCUCCGGUGGGCAAGCACCACCAAGCAAUUUUUCAGUGCCCUAUCCUUUUGAAAGCAUGUGUAUGUCCCGUAGCACGGACCCUAAAAGACAUUCCGUGAGCUCCUUCUGGCGACCAUAAAACCGGAUAUAUCUCUUUUGAGACAUGGAGGAGUAGUAUCCCACUUUGCCAAGAUCAUCCGGCCGCUUCCUCUCACAAAAACAAAAGUUUUGGACUUUCUCUUGUACAACCGAGUACUCACAGCAGAGAACUUGAUAAAGAGGAAUUUGCAAGCUCCACUUCACUGCCCGCUGUGUGGCAGCUAUGAAGAAACCACAGAUCAGCUCUUUGUUACAUGUGAAUCCUCAACAGACUUAACGUUGAUUUCCUUAGAAACUUGGUGUUAUGGUUCCAUUUUAAGUUCUCUCCGUUUAGCAGCAAUCCCAGUUGUGUCAGCUUGCAACGUAUCCGUUGACGCUGGGUGGGGUUGGACAGAGUUAGGCAGCAUUUAUUAAUGCUGUGAACAUAUUUUAAUCAGGAUAGAUAAUGCUCGAAAUUCUUGCAUGUUCUCACGGCUUAGAAAUAAGACAAACUUAUGCUGAACAUGUCACAAACAACAAAUCUCGACUUUCGUAUGAGAAUUAGAAGUACACAAUGCUGGAAUUGAAGGGCAAAAGACAAACUUACCUGGGGAAUAUCUCCCAACUUAGUUGUGUCCGAGGAACAAUUUUCUGGCUGAUAAUUGUAUCAGGUGGUCCAGAGAAAAGAUUGCAGACAUAACAUCCGGAACCAAUGACUUCACUGCUGAUAUGUUUGCAUUCACCUGCAUACUUUUCUAUUGUAAUUUUUGUGUUUUGCUUGAUGCAUUGAGUGAUGAAAGUUUGCAGUAAAUGAUGUAUUUAUGUAUGUACUAAAGUUUUUUAUAUAUAUAGAUAUACGGAAGUUAUGACACCUUAAACAUCUGUUUUCUGUUUAAGUGAAUGCUUCUUCAACCAUUUUCAUUACGGGGGAACAGAGGGUUGUCUGAAAUAAGAUGUUUUGAAGCAUUACAGAUUAAGUAGAAAAUUCCAAUCACUUCAGUUGCUAUAUGGAUACUGAUGCCUUCUUUUCUUAAGAGGUUUGUUCUGUUUCUAAUAUUCUUUUUCUGGAUUGCCAGUUGAGAGAUCCAUUUUGAGAGUUCCACGACACUUAUUGUCAUCUCUAAGCCCCUCUCAAGUUUUAAUUUAGUUAAUUUGUUUAUGAGCUGGUAUGAAUUAAAGGGAUUUUCAGCAUCUAUCAGGUUCAUAAAAAAUGUGUCAUGACACACUAAGGAUGUCAUCCAGAAUGGCUUACAGCUACCUAAGGUUGUGAUGAAGUUUGAUAGCAUUAUGCACAUUCAUGCAUAUUCAUUGACGGAUAGGGUUACAAAAGAUAUAAACAGAUGGAAUUAUAAACAGAUUAAAGUUAUUUCUAUCAAUCAGUUCAACGAACAUUUGUUACAAAAGCAUCUAACAUAUAUGCCCCGAACAACACUAAGGUUACAUACCUCAUACUGCACAGGAUUUGUACAAAGAACAUAUAUUAUGAUCAACUGGGACAGAAUAAACAUAGGGAAGGGGUAAGCUGAUAAUUUACUACUAGGAAAAAUGAAAAAGGACCAAAUCAGGCUGGUGUGCUUAUUUGUUCCUGCAACUGAUGUGGAACCAGGUAAUGAUUACCCACAUAUCGGAUAUCAUGCUUGCAUAGGCAUGGUUGUCCUCGGAAGGAUAGAGUUGGCCAACUCCUCAUUUAUCUGCACCGGAAGCGGUGGCAUCUGCUUCAUUAUCUCAGGCAUAUCACUCGAGCUGCACCACAAGUUUUAAAAAUUGGUUAAUGAAACACACUAAGAGAAACUACAUAUGGAGAAAAAAGAAGACAAAAGAAAUAGCAAAAACAUCUGCCAAGUUCCAUUUAUGUGAAGUGUUUCAUAAUAGGUAAUAAAAGUUAAGACUCCCUUUUGCUGAAGAUUUUCCUUGAGCUGAUUGUUUAUGACACACAGGGUAGGCAUCCAACUUCCAGAAAUAAAACUAGACUUCCAUUUAUUUUUCCUUUUGUCAGGUGCAAAUAAAAGAACAAAACCUAAUAAAAGGAUAUAGAUGGAUCAAACAAUUGCGCGACAUCCAAUACAUCUCUGGCAUCACCGCAAAGUACAGCCUACAAAGACUCCUUGUUCCCCAGCACCCUUUUCUUUUUUGCCAAAUCCCCAGCACCCUUUGUAGCAGAAGAGUUGACCACAUCACGCAUGGCCAACAAAAAUAUAACAUUGCCAUGAAAAGUAGCAUAAAUAAUCUCAUAAAUAAGAGGGUUUAGGAAAAAAAACUAUUGAUCAAGGAACCUUUUUCUUAAGAUAUUACAAGAAUACUACCUAAUACAAAGAACAAGUACAAGCAAUGGUAGCUGACAGCAGUAUAGAUAUUAUAAAUUGCAAAUCCUAAAAGGAUGAUUUAGUUACUGGGCCAUUAAAUAAAUUUUAUGCAUUUAUUUUACAAAAGCAUCAGGUGCAUGUAUGCAUCUAUGCACAUAUAUAUCUUCCAGACAAAUUUUAAGAAACGAUUUGUCUAUGUGUGAUAACAUGUAUAGAUAAGGAGUAGAUGUGUAACAAUAGAAUUCUUCUACCAUCGAGAAUCUCGAACCAUAGGAGAAAAAUUCAACCACCAGUACAUUUUAUACUAAUAACUACAGAGAACAUUAAAAACGCAAUCCCAUUCAAUGAAAUUGCCAGCGUUACAGCAACCAUAUUUCUAGACCUACAAAAAAUGCUUUGAAUAACACAUAAUUUCAUACAUGAAUGAAACUGCAUUGAUCUUUCACAUAAUUGAAAAAUGAGAAAAAGAUGAAGCACUUGAGAACAUACUCUUUCAAGAUUGUAAGAAUAUUGUCCCGUGUCUGGCAAAACAGACGGAUGUUCUCCUGUAUCUGCAAGAGAAUCAAGAUAUUAAAACCACCAGCAACUCCAAAACCAAACAUAUUCUGCAUGCCAGCCUUGCGUUGUAUGAAAGCACCUAGUUGGAAAAUAAACAUUUGUUCAGCUAAUUGCUGCUAAUCGGUCCUUUUUUUUCUUUUUCGAUAAAAUGUUUGAGCAAGCUCAACCUAUUAUCAUGAAGCAAAUGGAAGGAGAUGCAAGAAGAGGUAAAAGGGGAAAAAAGGAAAAGAAGAGAAGAGAAAAUUCGUAGCAUGUUAAAGCAGCAGUACAUCCAUGAUCCAUGCUGCGGAUCAGCAUAUAUACCUGAAAGCUGUUAAGGUUUGCAGAAAUUUGAUUGAAGACCUGUGCAUUAUGUUCAAGGAGCUGUCCUGUUGGACCACCAAUUGCUGCAAAGACAAGUUAAUUGAAAUAAUCAGUUACUCGAUAUAAGAAAAUAAAUAUCAAAAGAUCACCUUAAAAAAUCUGACUGCAAAUUAGCAAAAAUUUUCAUUAGUUCUUAUUUUAAAAAAAACACUUCCUUCACACCUACUAUAUGCAAACCUCUGCCAUUGACCCCCCAGCCCCCACGCCCCCCCCUCCAACACACCACAACACACAUGCAUACACGCGCGCACAGACACAAAGAGACAGAGAGAGCAGGUCAAUGCCUACAGAAUUUACCUGCACUCCCACAGAAUCAAAUAAGGCAGGAUAGAGACUAGUACAAAGAGGAUGCAGUAGUGUCCUAGAAUCUUCAUGUUACAAAUCGCUUAUUCUUACAUAGCAUCUUUAAAUAUGCUUCUAUAAUUAUUUUUCAUUCUUCUAGAACUGAUUAUACAAAAAAAAAAAAAAGAAAGAUGCUUUUACUGGUCUUGUUUAACACCCCACAACUAGCUUGAACCCGAAAGCAGCACAUGAAAGAGAAUGCAAACAAAAAUUUGGCUAAUAUAAAAAGCAUUUGGAGCAUAGUCAUGUUCAAUGUCCUUUGGGUUUUAAAAAUUGAAAUAUAUUCUUGCACGCAUUACUUUCUUACCCUUCUAAUAGCCAUUACAAUAAUCAACAAAAAUUGGCAGUAUCAUGUCCCAAACAAGUGCUAAGGUGCACCAAGAAUGAAGAAAAGCAAUGCCAACAUUGAAAGCCUAGCAACAGUGAGAAAAGAAUGAUAUUUUUACUCAUACUCCUCAUGAUAAACUGCGCAACAGGAUCUAAAGGAAAACAAAAAUGCAGUUUCUCGUCACUAGAAUGUUCUUAGUGACAAUCGUUAUUAGUGUAUUAAUAAGGAUAACUUGCACUAGGAUACCAAGUCUACAAACAAUCCAAUCCAAAACAGAUCCGCAAACAGAUUGCAAAAUAUACCAACCCAGGGACUGAAGUGUUGUAUAGAGAGAUUUAACUUUGGUAUCAUGUAUCUUACUUUAGACAAGGAAAAAUGGCUAAAGCUCCGAACUAAAGUCCUAGCCAGAGCUUCUCAAAGAAGAUAUGAUAUUGAGUUGAUAUUUGAGAAUGGUAGCUCAUGGUAGCAACAGAUAGAUAUUUCUCUUUGAAGUAUAACUACUCAAACAGCAAUGUUGCUUCUUUCUAAUUCAGACAAACCUUUUUGAUAUGGGAGACUUUUGUGCACUGGUCCAAGGAAGGAAGCAAGUCAGGAAUGGUUUUCCUAAAAUGUCCCAAUACAUUCGUAUCCCACAGAGUGUCAAUAAGUUAGGAAGCAUCAUCAACAGUUUAGCCAAUGAUAGAACCUUGACAAAGUCUGGUAACAAAUAUGAAAGCAUGCAACUAGUCUGACAAUAACAACCUGACUAGUGCCACAAUAGUGCACAAUAUAAAGGCUUUUGCAGAAUAGUGCCAACAAGAAGCCUACAAGCAGUACAGAAAAGCAUGUCAUAUUUUUAAAAAAUAUACAUAUAAUUAAAAAAAGAAUAAAAACCUUUAUAUGUAACUUCAUCUUCAUCCACAGGAAGCAUCGGUGGAGCAUAUGGAGGAACAACAGGGCGAACUGCCAAGUUAGCUGAUGGUUUCGCUGAAGGAUCUGCAACCCUUUCCUGCAGAUUAGAUAGCCAAAUUUUUGCCAGGCAUUGACGAAGUGGUUUAGAUAACUUGGUCUCACAAGGACAUAAAGAAAAACCAGAGAAAAUAUGACAUAAACACAUUUAUACAGACAUACCCACAUACAUAUACAUAUGUACAUAUGUAUGUACAUAUAUAUAAAGAGAUCAACCAGGCUAUGGUUGACCGGAUUUGAAGCUGGAUUCGAUCAGGAGAAAUCGGAAGACCGAGGUCCGACAACGAUGAUCCAAGUCGUUUGAAUGCAAUGUAGUACCUCUAAACUGCUGAUAGACCAAAAAUCAUGUAAUUUGGUGACCCAUGACAUAUCAAGUGGUCAAAAACGUAAAAGUUCAAAUAACAGGAUGCAAUGCUCAUUCAUGACCACUAGAUGCAUAGAUCAGGGGUCGCAAAAAUACAUGAUUUUUUGGUCAGUAGGCAAUUAGAGGUAGUCGAUCACAUUAAACCAUGAUUUGAAGUUUCGACCAGAAUGGUUUGGUUUCAGCCAAGACCAGUCCGAAACAAAUAGAAAUUUUGGUUUCAGUCAGUUCCUUCGAUCAGUUUUGGCCAAUUUCAGUAUUUUCGAUCAUUUCGGCUUGUUUCAGCCAAGUUUCGACAAUUCGGCCAGAAACUAACAGAAAAUGAUAAUGUUUUCUCUUUUUUUUGGUUUAAUUAGUUUGCAUGUUCCAUGUAUUCUAGUAUUUUCUAGAUUUUUUUAAAUAUUAUUAAAUACCAUAUUUAUUUAAGGCUUUAACAAUCUAAUUUAUGUUAUUUUUGGCUAAGUUUUGUACUUACAAUGGGCAAGAUGCAAAUUUAAUGUGCAUCUUAACCAAUUAGAAAGCAUUGUGUAUUCUUAUGUUUUUCUUUUAGAAAUAAGAUUUUUUCUCUUCUUUCAGAUUAAAAUGGUAAUAUUGAAAUAGAAUAGCAACAGAAAAUGGAUUUUCAUUUAGAUGGAUCUUUUCUUGUCUUUGGAUCUUUAAGAUGGAAUAUAAUGAAACACACUCAAAUGUUUUUUUGCUUGCUAGAACAAGUUAUUAAAAUGGAAUAAAAUUUACACAUGCUUAGAGAAAAGUUUACUUAAAUGUAAAAAAUGAGCAAAUAUGAAAAAUUAUAAAAAUAGAGAAAAGUAAAGUAAAAUUAUAUGAUUAGAGAAAAAUGUAGGAUAAUUACAAAUAUCAGAGAAAAAUAUAAUAUAUCUAACGUGCUAAGAUUUGAAACAGUUUAUAACUUUAGUUUCAACCUGUAUCUAUCCAAAGUCACAACUUAUAACCCUAAACAACUUUAAAUACAAUCAAUAAAGUCAAAUAACCUUCUUGAUCUUUCUUUGUUUUUUUUUAGAUUCCGAAACUUGGAGCAAAACUACCAAAACCGCCAAAACUACCGAAACCAAAACUCUACCUAGAUGAUCGAAAUUGAAACCAAGUCUUAAAACCUUGCAUUCAACAGCUCCGAUCAUCAUUGUUGGAACCCUGUUUUCUAAUUUCACCUGACCGAAUCCAACUUCAAAUCCAAUCAUAUACAUGCAC
rnacentral:lncRNA from 1 species